AACGCUAGCUACAGGCUUAACACAUGCAAGUCGAGGGGCAGCAUGAUUGAAGCUUGCUUCAAUUGAUGGCGACCGGCGCACGGGUGAGUAACGCGUAUCCAACCUUCCGUACACUCAGGAAUAGCCUUUCGAAAGAAAGAUUAAUACCUGAUGGUAUGAUGAGAUUGCAUGAAAUCAUCAUUAAAGAUUCAUCGGUGUACGAUGGGGAUGCGUUCCAUUAGAUAGUAGGCGGGGUAACGGCCCACCUAGUCGACGAUGGAUAGGGGUUCUGAGAGGAAGGUCCCCCACAUUGGAACUGAGACACGGUCCAAACUCCUGCGGGAGGCAGCAGUGAGGAAUAUUGGUCAAUGGGCGCGAGCCUGAACCAGCCAAGUAGCGUGAAGGAUGAAGGUCCUACGGAUUGUAAACUUCUUUUAUAAGGGAAUAAAGUCACCUACGUGUAGGUGUUUGUAUGUACCUUAUGAAUAAGCAUCGGCUAACUCCGUGCCAGCAGCCGCGGUAAUACGGAGGAUGCGAGCGUUAUCCGGAUUUAUUGAGUUUAAAGGGAGCGUAGACGGGUCGUUAAGUCAGCUGUGAAAGUUUGAGGCUCAACCUUAAAAUUGCAGUUGAUACUGGCGUCCUUGAGUACGGUUGAGGCAGGCGGAAUUCGUGGUGUAGCGGUGAAAUGCUUAGAUAUCACGAAGAACUCCGAUUG
rnacentral:rRNA from 1 species